UAUCUUCCUUUUUGCAGUAAUGUAACUGAAGAACAAGAGGAAGAUUAAAUUUUCUAUAGUCAUGGAGCUAGUAAGAAGGGGAACCUGGUUAUGAAGGCAGAACAUCUGGCUCUAGUCAAUGCCACUUCUCUCCUUCUACAACCCAGAAGCCAUAUAAUGAGAUAUAUUUUGGAAUCACCACGGAUAAUUCUACCCUGUAUUCAGAAUCAGCAAUUUUUCUAAGAGAGAGACAAAGCACAAGCAGGGGAGGAGCAGAGAGAGAGAGGGAGACACAGAAUCUGAAGCAGGCUCCAGGCUCUGAGCUGUCAGCAGAGAGCCCAACGCAGGGCUUGAACCCACCAACCCUGAGAUCAUGACCUGAGCAUAAUGAUUUUGGUAAGACUGGAGUAUUUACUGGAGAAAGGAAAAGCACGGACACCAGAAGAUGGAUUUGAGAGCUAUGUGUAGAACAGGUAAGAUACGGCAGGGCCUCUUGAAGUAACUGGCUAUGGGUGAAGAUAGGAACUGUGCAUUUCUCUACAUGUUUCACUCUCAAUCCUAUUUCUAUAAGCCUAAAAAUACUUAACAUUUGUUUUUAUCCUUAACUAGGUUAAGGAUAACAAAUACAGAUGAUUUUUCUGUGAGCAAACAGCAUACACACACUCAUAAUACUCCAUGCAUUUGAGCAAUACUAGAUAUAAUGAAAAAUAAAGGCAAUCCCAUUGAUUUAUGUUGCUUUGCUAACCUAUAACAAACUUGUCAAAUAGCUAUUGAAAAUAAAAUAUUUUAUUUCUAUGAAGUCCUCCUUGCUUCUUUCAUGAUCAUUAUGUUAAAAGACCUAUCAUGUACAUUUUAUAACAGAUCAAGAAAACUAAUCAAAUAGAUCAUAGAUUUUUAAUUAUCUUUGCUUAUUGCUAAUUGUUUAUAGUAUAUUGGUAUUCAUAUGGACUUGAUCAUAAAGUUGUAGUGAACUAGAUUUGUCUUUACUAAGAAUUAUGUACUUUUAACAUUUUGAAAUAUCAGCCAAUUUGUUGUCUAACUUGUAUUAUUUCUAAAUAUCAACUGUUUAUUUGUUAAAUUUAAUUAUACUUAAAUAUUUUGAUUUUUAUACAUUUCCUAGAUCCAUUUUUAUGCUCUGUUACCUACCAAACUGUGUAUUUGCGGGAUGAGGAUGCAUAAUUAUCUUAUUUAAAUUGUGUCUACUCUGAAUGAAUGUGAUAAUCCAAAUCAACUUGUUUCACCAUUUCAGUACUUAUUUAAAUUUGUCAAGUGGCUCAUACUCCAUUAAUUCAGAAACACAGUUUGUCAAUUUGAUUGCCUAUCUUGUUGGUACAGCUGCUAGUUUUCAUAAUCCAGUUGUAUAUUAAGGUAUUUGAGUCUGUAGUUACAUGACCAAUCUUGUUUAUUUGCUGAUGACUCUCUGCUUUAAUAAUUGAAGUCAUUAGUGUAUGA